rnacentral:rRNA from 1 species
GGACGAACGCUGGCGGCGUGCCUAACACAUGCAAGUCGAGCGAUAUGGAGGUUGGAUGUUAGAGGUUAGAGGUUUGAAUAGAAGAAAUUCCUACGGAAUUUCAACAAGUAUCCAACUUCUAAUUUCCAACAUCUAACCUCUAUAUAGCGGCGGACGGGUGAGUAACACGUGGGUAACCUGCCCUUGAGAGGGGGAUAACAGGUCGAAAGGCCUGCUAAUACCGCAUAACGCUAAGAAGCUGCAUGGCGUCUUAGCCAAAGGUUAAUUCCGCUCAAAGAUGGGCCCGCGGCCCAUUAGCUAGUUGGUGAGGUAACGGCUCACCAAGGCGACGAUGGGUAGCCGAUCUGAGAGGAUGACCGGCCACAUUGGAACUGAGACACGGUCCAGACUCCUACGGGAGGCAGCAGUGGGGAAUAUUGCGCAAUGGGGGAAACCCUGACGCAGCAACGCCGCGUGGAGGAAGAAGGCCUUCGGGUCGUAAACUCCUGUCUUUUGGGACGAAAGGAUGACGGUACCAAAGGAGGAAGCCACGGCUAACUACGUGCCAGCAGCCGCGGUAAUACGUAGGUGGCAAGCGUUGUCCGGAAUUACUGGGCGUAAAGGGUGCGUAGGCGGUAUAUUAAGUCAGAUGUGAAAACCCAGGGCUCAACUCUGGGAGUGCAUUUGAAACUGGUAUACUGGAGUGCAGGAGAGGGAAGCGGAAUUCCUGGUGUAGCGGUGAAAUGCGUAGAUAUCAGGAAGAACACCAGUGGCGAAGGCGGCUUUCUGGACUGUAACUGACGCUGAGGCACGAAAGCGUGGGGAGCAAACAGGAUUAGAUACCCUGGUAGUCCACGCUGUAAACGAUGAGUGUUAGGUGUAGGGGGAGAAGUCCUUCUGUGCCGCAGUAAACGCAAUAAACACUCCGCCUGGGGAGUACGGUCGCAAGACUAAAACUCAAAGGAAUUGACGGGGGCCCGCACAAGCAGCGGAGCAUGUGGUUUAAUUCGAAGCAACGCGAAGAACCUUACCAGGGCUUGACAUCUAACGGACUUAGUAGAGAUACUAAGGUGCCUUUCGAGGAACGUUAAGACAGGUGGUGCAUGGUUGUCGUCAGCUCGUGUCGUGAGAUGUUGGGUUAAGUCCCGCAACGAGCGCAACCCUUGUUAUUAGUUGCCAGCAGUAAGAUGGGCACUCUAAUAAGACUGCCGGGGUUAACUCGGAGGAAGGUGGGGAUGACGUCAAAUCAUCAUGCCCCUUAUGUCCUGGGCUACACACGUGCUACAAUGGCUUAAACAAAGUGAACCGAAUCCGUAAGGAGGAGGGAAACACGAAAUAAAGUCUCAGUUCGGAUUGAGGGCUGCAACCCGCCCUCAUGGAGCUGGAGUUGCUAGUAGUCGCGAAUCAGAAUGUCGCGGUGAAUACGUUCCCGGGCCUUGUACACACCGCCCGUCACACCAUGAGAGUUGGCAGCACCCGAAGCCUGUGAGAUAACAAUAAAAAGGGUCAGCAGUCGAAGGUGGGGCCGAUGAUUGGGGUGAAGUCGUAACCAAGGUAACCCA